CAAAAACACAGGGCUCUGCGAAGUUGCAAAACGACGUAUAGGGUCUGACGCCUGCCCGGUGCCGGAAGGUUAAAAGGAGAUGUGCAAGCAUUGAAUUGAAGCCCCGGUAAACGGCGGCCGUAACAAUAACGGUCCUAAGGUAGCGAAAUUCCUUGUCGGGUAAGUUCCGACCUGCACGAAUGGCGUAACGACUUCCCCACUGUCUCCAGCAUAGACUCAGCGAAAUUGAAUUCCCCGUGAAGAUGCGGGGUUCCUGCGGUCAGACGGAGAGACCCCAUGAACCUUUACUAUAGCUUUGCGCUGGCACUUGUGUCGGCAUGUGCAGGAUAGGUGGUAGGCUUUGAAGCAGGGACGCUAGUUCUUGUGGAGCCGCAAGAUGAGAUACCACCCUUAUCGUCAUAGGUGUCUAACCGCGAUGUAACAGCAUCCGGGACAGCGCAUGGUGGGUAGUUUGACUGGGGC
rnacentral:rRNA from 1 species